GAGUGGUAUGUGGUGGUAUGAAGUGAAGUUCCAUUGUUUGGAUUCUUUAAAAAUGAAUGGAAUGGAGUGGUAUGUGAUGGUAUGGAUUCCAUCCCAUUCCGUCAUUUUCUCUUAUUUUUCUUCCCCUCCAAUUUGGGGUGUAUGAGAUGGAAUACAAAAUGUCCAAACAAUGGAAUACAUUUUAUGCUCCAUUCCAUCCCGCUCCGCUCCAUUCCAUCUUAUUCCAUUCCGCUCCAUUCCGUUAUGUACCAUCAAUCCAAACAUAG
rnacentral:lncRNA from 1 species